rnacentral:rRNA from 1 species
GCGAGUGAAGCGGGAAGAGCUCAAAUUUGAAAUCUGGUGGCCUCAGGUCAUCCGAGUUGUAAUCUAUAGAAGUGUUUUCCGUGCUGGCUCAUGUACAAGUCCCUUGGAACAGGGCGUCAUAGAGGGUGAGAAUCCCGUCCUUGACAUGAACUACCAGUGCUCUGUGAUACAUUUUCAACGAGUCGAGUUGUUUGGGAAUGCAGCUCAAAAUGGGUGGUAAAUUCCAUCUAAAGCUAAAUAUUGGCGAGAGACCGAUAGCGAACAAGUACCGUGAGGGAAAGAUGAAAAGCACUUUGGAAAGAGAGUUAAACAGUAUGUGAAAUUGUUGAAAGGGAAACGAUUGAAGUCAGUCGUGCUCUUUGGAUUCAGCCGGUUCUGCCGGUGUACUUCCUUUGAGUGGGGUCAACAUCAGUUUUGAUCGCUGGAUAAAGGCUGGAGGAACGUAGUACCCUCGGGUAAACUUAUAGCCUCCUGUCACAUACAGUGGUUGGGACUGAGGAACGCAGCACGCCUUUAUGGCCGGGAUUCGUCCACGUAC